AUUGGACGCUGGCGGCAGGCCUAACACAUGCAAGUCGAGCGGAUGAAGGGAGCUUGCUCCUGGAUUCAGCGGCGGACGGGUGAGUAAUGCCUAGGAAUCUGCCUGGUAGUGGGGGAUAACGUCCGGAAACGGGCGCUAAUACCGCAUACGUCCUGAGGGAGAAAGUGGGGGAUCUUCGGACCUCACGCUAUCAGAUGAGCCUAGGUCGGAUUAGCUAGUUGGUGGGGUAAAGGCCUACCAAGGCGACGCUCCGUAACUGGUCUGAGAGGAUGAUCAGUCACACUGGAACUGAGACACGGUCCAGACUCCUACGGGAGGCAGCAGUGGGGAAUAUUGGACAAUGGGCGAAAGCCUGAUCCAGCCAUGCCGCGUGUGUGAAGAAGGUCUUCGGAUUGUAAAGCACUUUAAGUUGGGAGGAAGGGCAGUAAGUUAAUACCUUGCUGUUUUGACGUUACCAACAGAAUAAGCACCGGCUAACUUCGUG
rnacentral:rRNA from 1 species